UACGUAGGUGGCAAGCGUUAUCCGGAAUUAUUGGGCGUAAAGCGCUCGCAGGCGGUUUCUUAAGUCUGAUGUGAAAGCCCACGGCUCAACCGUGGAGGGUCAUUGGAAACUGGGAAACUUGAGUGCAGAAGAGGAGAGUGGAAUUCCAUGUGUAGCGGUGAAAUGCGUAGAGAUGUGGAGGAACACCAGUGGCGAAGGCGACUCUCUGGUCUGUAACUGACGCUGAGGAGCGAAAGCUAGGGGAGCAAACGGG
rnacentral:rRNA from 1 species